UACGUAGGGUGCAAGCGUUGUCCGGAAUUAUUGGGCGUAAAGAGCUCGUAGGCGGUCUGUCGCGUCUGCUGUGAAAACUCGGGGCUUAACCCCGGGCCUGCAGUGGGUACGGGCAGACUAGAGUGCGGUAGGGGAGACUGGAAUUCCUGGUGUAGCGGUGAAAUGCGCAGAUAUCAGGAGGAACACCGAUGGCGAAGGCAGGUCUCUGGGCUGUAACUGACGCUGAGGAGCGGAAGCAUGGGGAGCGAACAGG
rnacentral:rRNA from 1 species